GCCCGCCUAGCUCAAUCGGAUAGAGCGUCAGACUCUUAGGGUAUGACGUCGGGUGAUUUGAAGGCUGCGAGUUCGACCCUCGCGGUGGGCU